rnacentral:ncRNA from 1 species
UCAAAUGCUAUGACAGGAAAUAAACCCGCAGCUUCUUUUCCAGAGAGCCGCAGCAUUGGUGAAAUGCGGUACUGAACUUCGGUUAUACUCGUCCUUGAGCAGUCGGCUGAAAGCAUAUGCAAUUAGGCUUGAACGGGUUCUCCCGUUACAGAGAUGCGCAUUGUCAGAUGCGAAAUGAGGUAUUGCAGGCAACUGUGAUACGAAUGAGAGUGGUAACACGGGUAAAUUCAGCUCGUCUCUCGA